GAUAGUCAUAUUCUUGUUAAUCCACAUGCAAUCUAAUUUUCAAGUCACACUUAUUUCAGAAAAAUUCUGAAUGAUAUCAUAUGAUACAUCAGUGUCACAAUUAGGGAUUACUUGUACAAAAUUCCUUAUUCAACAAAGUACACAAGACCACAAGCAUCUUAUUGUAUCUUUACAAAUAUGCCUACAAUUCAACCAACCUAUUUUUAUAUUACAAGCGCGCCUCAUGCUUGUAUGUACAUCUGUAUCUGUAGCAGCAUUGAUUUUCUUCUAUUCAAACCAUAAGAAAGUGGAAUAAUGGGCACAAGGGCAGCAUGAGAAAGCAUGUAAUUUCUGUUUUUGGCUAUCCAAAACUUGACUAAUCCUUCUCUUCACAAGAUUGAUUAUUUGACCCACAAAGCAAGAAGGCAGAAGCAAGGAUUCUUUCAAACUACAAAAUCAUGUAAUAUAUGGGAAUUGCCAAACCUGUCCUGUUGCUUUCCCAGAUCCAUGCAAUGAUAAUCCAUCGAGUCAGGUCCCAUAGAGGAAGGUGCUACAUUGUUAACCCUCAUAUGGUUCUCACCGGACAUGGAAAAAGCAUCACUUUCACGAUGUUGCAAACCCAAUGCAAGUGACACCUGACUGCCAAUUGCAAAUCCAGUCAACUCUGAUAUGUCAUACGAGAGAGCAGCAGGCAUAAGAUUCUCAUCGCCAUGUUGGUUAACUGGGACAUUUUUGUCUAGAUAAGGGCUUUGUUCUUCCAUGUCAGACCUUUGGUUACCCUGGAGUUUAGUAAUCCUAAAAUUUGAGACAUCUCCAAGAGAAUUAUUCUGACGCACUGUUUUUCCUAUAGGUUUGUUCAUUCCUAUAUCAGGAAUGCAAUAAGACCUUAAAUCAUGAACUUGACCUGGGUGGUUACUAUCAGCAGCUGCAGAUGUCACACUGUCCUGCAACUCGUCUAGCCCAUUCUCAGAUACCAAGUGAUUCUCUCCAGGUGCUUUGGUUGCAUCAUCUAGAGAAGAUUUAGAGAAUGCUUCCGAAUUUGCAAAUUCUUCUUUGUAUAUUUCCUCAACCAUGGGCUUCCAAAGACGCACCCGUGCGUUAAUAAACCAGUUUGCCACCUGGUUUCUCGUCAAGCCUGUCUGUUUCGCUAGCAUGAUUUUCUCUGAAUCAUUAGGGUAGGGAUGAAGGAAAUGCUCAAAAAGCCAAGCUCGAAGAACUGAAACAGAGCUCUCAGGAAGACCCCUUUGAGGUCUCCAAGAAUGCCGCAUCACACCAAGCUGCUGGAGAGCCCUCUGUUGUCUUAGCUGCUGAUCCACAUAGCGGAGACGUAAUAUCCCUCCUUGACCAUUAGGUGAAGUGUCUUGCUCCCCAAGUCUUCUCCUUAUUAUUUCUAUCUGGUUGCUGAUUGCAUCACGCAAGCAGCGGAAAUGACGAGAGAUUGUUUGGAGAGCAAGUGCUGUGUAUGAUUUAGCUGCCCCAUGACCUGAUGCCAUGUCAAAAGAAGACACCACAAUUUGCAUUUGAUGGUAAUACUGCUUGUAUCUUCUAUCAACCUAUAGCAAAUCAUAGUAACCUCUCAAGAACAGCCACACUCAAGGAAAAAAAACAAUAAUAAUAAAUAAUUGAGAUUGAGAGAACUCCAUGCACACUGAUGCAUAGACAUACCCAAAAAGAAUUAACACAACUCAUGAGGAACUAUUAUCCCAUGGUUAAACAAAUGCAAAAUCCUUAAUCUUUGUCACAACUCCAAAAACAGUCCCUCAAUCACGUUUACUACCAAUUCAAUUGCAUGGUAUGCUUUCAAAAGGGUUGUAAUGUUUAAGUUUGUUGUUUUUUUGUUCUUGCAAGUGAAUGAAGGACUGAUGCAUCUGAUGGUUGUGAGUGUGCCUACGCAAGAGGGCUAACCAGAACUAUUUGUAACUAAUCUUUGCCCUAUAUUUGCUUUACAAAUGUCCCCACAAACUCACUGUUCAAAUCUCAAUUCUCAAGCCCCCAAAGCCACUUGCGUAGACAAAUUUUCUUUUGUUAAAAUUGCUGCUGCACAAAGCAUUCUAAUAAAAAUGUCUAGUCUGAUUUUCUCAGUAACAUUAUCUGAUAUGCUAAAUGCAUCUUCAUUACCGAUCUUUAGGAAUGAUCUGGGAUCAAAUAAUAAAAUUUCAGCCAUCAAAAUCAAAUAAAUAGUACCAUAGGAUCAGUAGAAAAUUGGGUUUAC
rnacentral:misc_RNA from 1 species